UGACCGAGGUAAAACCUGUCGCUCGGUGUUACCUCCAAAAAUCUUUUUUACCGAGGCACACCUUAAAGAUCGUUCCGCAUUGUGAGUCUAACACUAGUUGUAUAAACUUUUUACAACCGGUAGCGAUGGAUCCCUUGGCACGUCAUUCGAUGAAGACCGUUGCAAAUUGCGAUAAAGUGAUGUGAUGCGCAAGUCCACCACUUAUACGUGAAUCAUCGAGUUGUUGAACGCAUUGCACCGCGCCCUAAUCCGGCUGUGGUAUGCCCCUUUGAGCGUCAUUGUAUUCCUUCGGGAGUCCUUUUUUACAAAGGACCCGAGUUCGGAGUCCUCGGUCCUCUCGAUCGUGUUCUCUUAGAUGCUUCGCACCGAUCGCCUGAUGGGUCCUCUAAUGCCUAAGCGUGGAGUUCCUUCAAGUUUGAGACGUGCUCGACCGGGUCUUGAGCUCGCGUCACCAAGUCUGCCUAACAAGCAGUACUACAACACAUGACCUCAUUGGGGUAGGACAACCCGCUAGACUUAAGCAUAUUAAUCAGCGGAGGAAAAGAAACUAACCAGGAUC
rnacentral:rRNA from 1 species